UAGGGAAUAUUGCGCAAUGGAGGAAACUCUGACGCAGCGACGCCGCGUGGGUGAUGAAGGCCUUCGGGUCGUAAAGCCCUGUCGGAAGGGAAGAAAAACGUUUUGGCUAACAUCCAAGACGCUUGACGGUACCUUCAAAGGAAGCACCGGCUAACUACGUGCCAGCAGCCGCGGUAAUACGUAGGGUGCAAGCGUUGUUCGGAAUCAUUGGGCGUAAAGCGCGUGUAGGUGGUUAGUUAAGUCGGGUGUGAAAUCCCUCAGCUCAACUGAGGAAGUGCAUCCGAAACUGGCUAGCUAGAGAAUGGUAGAGGAAGGUGGAAUUCCUAGUGUAGAGGUGAAAUUCGUAGAUAUUAGGAGGAAUACCGGUGGCGAAGGCGGCCUUCUGGACCAUUGCUGACACUGAGACGCGAAAGCGUGGGGAGCAAACAG
rnacentral:rRNA from 1 species